rnacentral:rRNA from 1 species
UACGUAGGUGACCAGCGUUGUCCGGAUUUACUGGGCGUAAAGAGCGCGCAGGCGGUCGUUCAAGUCGAGUGUGAAAGCCCCCGGCUCAACUGGGGAGGGUCAUUCGAUACUGAUCGACUGGAAGGCAGGAGAGGGAAGCGGAAUUCCCGGUGUAGUGGUGAAAUGCGUAGAUAUCGGGAGGAACACCAGUGGCGAAGGCGGCUUCCUGGCCUGUUCUUGACGCUGAGGCGCGAAAGCUAGGGGAGCAAAAGGG